CCUUCUUAGUCGUGCUUCUCAAGAUUUAUUUCAGUUACUACUCAAAGUAAGGCAAAACAGAGUAUAAAAUGUCAAGAUUUGAAGGAGAAGCUUCAUCAAGUUUUACCUUUAGUGUGCAGUCGAAGAUAUCUGCAUUCAUGUAAACAAGAAC